GCAUACUUGAUUUAAUCCUAAAUAGAAAAAUAUUUUAGGAUAAUUGAGAAAACUUGAAUAUGGAUACUUUUUAGAGGAUAUUAGGUUAAUGUUAAAUUUCUUAGGUGUAACAAUGAUACUGUGGCUAUACAAAAGAAUGUUCUUAUUGUUAGGAGAUGCAUGCUUAAAUUUUAGAGAUGACAUGACAUGAUGUUUUACUUAUUCUUGGAUGGUUCAAAAACAACCACAACAAAACGUACAUAUACAGAAACAAAGCUUGGGGGGAGAUGGGUUUACCUGCUUUCUUCAACAAAUAAAGAGGAAAAAAAAAAUUGAGGGCAGGUAAACUAAACCUAUAUACUGGAGGUUCUUAACCUGGAUUUCAAAGAUAAAAUUCAGAAGAUCUGUGAUCUGAGUAGGAAAAAAAUUUACAUCUUUAUUUUUAUUAACCUCAAAAUGAGAUUUAGCAUUUCCCUUCUAUAACGAACACGACAAGAACCACAGUAGUAGUAUUAGUAUCUGUGACUACCAAAAGAAGAGCUAUUUUCAUAUUAGGUAACACUUGUCAGAUGUCAAAAUAUUGUUUACAUGUAUCAGUACUUCAAACUUAUGGUAGCUAUUAGACCCACUACUAUCUUGUUUUUUGAAUACAUUAAAUAAUUAUAUAAUAUUUUUUAAAAUAAUAACCAUGCGAAUACAAUUCAUCUCCUUUGUGAUCCAAAGUAUUUUAAUUUAUGCAUUAAAAAUUGUGUUGAAUGUGGCUUUUGUUGUGGAAAAAAGUAAAAAAAAAAUAAAUUUAAAAAUUAAAAAAAAAAUUGUGAAGGAUCCAUAUGCUUCAAACAGCCAAAGCAGUCCACACUGCAAAAAAGGUUAAGAACCCCUGCUAUAUGAUCACAUUUCAGAGACAUCAACUAAAUAUCAAGUACGAACCCUGUCUGGACUCUUAAUUGAACAAACCAACUAUUUAAAAAACUAUAAAAUAAUUGAAAAUAAAUUUUUCUUUUUUUUUGAGACAGGAUCUUGCUCUAUCACCCAGGCUGGAGUGCAGGGGUGUGAUCUUGGCUCACUGCACCCUCUGCCUCCCAGGUUUAAGCCAUUCUCAUGCCUCAGCCUUCUGAGUUGUUGGGAUUACAGGUGUGCGCCACCACACCCAGCUAAUUUUUUGUAUUUUUAGUAGAGAUGGGGUUUCACCAUGUUGGCUAGGCUAGUCUUGAAUUCCCUCCUCAAGUUAUCCACCUGCCUCAGCCUCCCAAAGUGCUGGGGUUAUAUAUAGAUGUGAGCCACCAUGCCCGGCCAAAGGCAAAGGAUGAAUUUUUCGAAUACUCUCAAAACCAGAAUGUCUCCAAAAUACUGUAAGAUAUAUUAAUCAGACAUGCAUACAGCUCAACUGACAUAUUAUACAGAUU
rnacentral:lncRNA from 1 species